AAUAUCUUUAACGGUAUUUGAAAAUAAGUGAAAAUAAGCCAAAAUCAAAAUUUAGAAUAUGACCUUGACCUUUGACCUUGACCUUAUUUUCAUUUUUUUGGACCAAGGAUCUCAAAUCAAAAGACCCUAGGUCUCUAUCACUUAUGGUUUACCAGUUAGAAAUGCAUAUCACUUAUAUCAAAUACAUAAGGGGAAAUAACUCUCAUAUGGAGUCUCCGGAUAGCUUCGGUCCAAAUGAAUAUCCUAAUCCUGAAGAUGUAACGAGCAAUUUGGUAAAAUAAAUUUGUCGUAAUCUUUUACGGUUGCGAAGGAGUAGUGGCCACAAGAAAAACAGUGUUUGGGGAGAUAACUCUUACAACGUAAAGUAUUUUGUUACGCGGUUGUAAAUUUUUAAAGCGUAUAAACUAUACGAUAUCAUAUUCCAAAUAUCUAAGCGACAUCUUUUGAAACAACAAUACUACGCAAGAAAAAAAUUAGGCGGAAGAAAAAAAAAAAAAUAUAAUAAUAAUUAAAAACCAAUUGUUCAGAGAACAAUUGAAGGUCUUUCCACUAGUAAAGAUCUAUUUUGAUAUUGAAAUAUGAAAAAUCAGUUUAAAAUGUUAGUUCCUAUGGCUUUAUGAUGUAUUUAUAUGAAUUUAAAGCAAAGGUCAAAAUCUAGAACGUCCUAUUAACCUAUGACCUUGACCUCAAUUUCAAGGUCACAAACCAAGGACCUUAAAUCAAAAGACCCUAGGUCUUUAAUAUGUUUGGUUAAUGAGUAAUAUCACUUUACGCGUAAUUCUAAAUGUAAGAUGGGCAAAAACUCCCAUUUAUUGUCUGCGCACCCUUUCAACCAAAAUAUACAAGUAAGGACAUGUCGCAACUAACAAUUUAUGAAAAAAUUAUUUGUCGAUAUGUCAUACGGUAUUUGAAAAUAAGUGAAAAUAAGCCAAAAUCAAAAUUUAGAAUAUGACCUUGACCUUUGACCUUGACCUUCAUUUUCAUUUUUUUGGACCAAGGACCUCAAAUCAAAGACCCUAGGUCUCUAUCACUUAUGGUUUACCAGUUAGAAAUGCAUAUCACUUA
rnacentral:lncRNA from 1 species